GGGGGGCGCUAUACUGCAAGUCGAACGCUUCUUUUUCCACCGGAGCUUGCUCCACCGGAAAAAGAGGAGUGGCGAACGGGUGAGUAACACGUGGGUAACCUGCCCAUCAGAAGGGGAUAACACUUGGAAACAGGUGCUAAUACCGUAUAACAAUCAAAACCGCAUGGUUUUGAUUUGAAAGGCGCUUUCGGGUGUCGCUGAUGGAUGGACCCGCGGUGCAUUAGCUAGUUGGUGAGGUAACGGCUCACCAAGGCCACGAUGCAUAGCCGACCUGAGAGGGUGAUCGGCCACAUUGGGACUGAGACACGGCCCAAACUCCUACGGGAGGCAGCAGUAGGGAAUCUUCGGCAAUGGACGAAAGUCUGACCGAGCAACGCCGCGUGAGUGAAGAAGGUUUUCGGAUCGUAAAACUCUGUUGUUAGAGAAGAACAAGGAUGAGAGUAACUGUUCAUCCCUUGACGGUAUCUAACCAGAAAGCCACGGCUAACUACGUGCCAGCAGCCGCGGUAAUACGUAGGUGGCAAGCGUUGUCCGGAUUUAUUGGGCGUAAAGCGAGCGCAGGCGGUUUCUUAAGUCUGAUGUGAAAGCCCCCGGCUCAACCGGGGAGGGUCAUUGGAAACUGGGAGACUUGAGUGCAGAAGAGGAGAGUGGAAUUCCAUGUGUAGCGGUGAAAUGCGUAGAUAUAUGGAGGAACACCAGUGGCGAAGGCGGCUCUCUGGUCUGUAACUGACGCUGAGGCUCGAAAGCGUGGGGAGCAAACAGGAUUAGAUACCCUGGUAGUCCACGCCGUAAACGAUGAGUGCUAAGUGUUGGAGGGUUUCCGCCCUUCAGUGCUGCAGCUAACGCAUUAAGCACUCCGCCUGGGGAGUACGACCGCAAGGUUGAAACUCAAAGGAAUUGACGGGGGCCCGCACAAGCGGUGGAGCAUGUGGUUUAAUUCGAAGCAACGCGAAGAACCUUACCAGGUCUUGACUCCUUUGACCCUCUAGAGAUAGAGCUUCCCCUUCGGGGGCAAAGUGACAGGUGGUGCAUGGUUGCCGUCAACUCGGGCGGGAAUGUGGGUAAGUCC
rnacentral:rRNA from 1 species